CCUACGGGAGGCAGCAGUGGGGAAUAUUGCACAAUGGGGGAAACCCUGAUGCAGCGACGUCGCGUGAGUGAUGAAGGAUUUCGGUAUGUAAAGCUCUAUCAGCAGGGAAGAAAAUGACGGUACGUGACUAAGAAGCACCGGCUAACGACGGGCCAGCAGGCCUGGGAACAUGCAGGGGGCAAGGGUUAUACGGAGUUUCUGGGGGUAAAGGGAGCGUAGACGGCGGUGCAAGUCAGCUGUGAAAGCCAGGGGUUCAACCCCGGGACUGCAUUUGGAACUGUGCUGCUAGAGUGUCGGAGGGGCAGGCGGAAUUCCUAGUGUAGCGGUGAAAUGCGUAGAUAUUACGAGGAACGCCGGUGGCGAAGGCGGCCUGCUGGACGGCGACUGACGUUGAGGCUCGAAAGCGUGGGUAGCGAACAGGAUUAGAUACCCUAGUAGUC
rnacentral:rRNA from 1 species